AUAAUUGGUAAAUUAUUUAUCAAACUAGAUCAGCUAUUACAUGUAUUAUGCACUACCAUUUAUUUUUAUGAAUCAUUAUUACCAAAAGAAAUAAAGAAACUUAGGCCUGCACAAGUAAGUGGAAACAAGAUGUAUAUGUUGUGCUGGCUGUAUGUUCUAAACCCCUCUAAAUCAUGUGUGAUUUAACAUUCCUCACAUCUCAGGCUUGACUAAAUUUAAAUCUAUUGAUUUGGUUGAUUUUUGCAGCAUUGACUUACUUCAAGGCAGACAAUUUUUGUUGGUCGAGGGAGCCAGAAUGCCAGAAGAAAUUGGAAUGCUAUUAUAUUUAUAUAAAGUUUACCAAUAAUGCUUGUGGUACUAAGCCAUUGUAUAGUGUCCCCCAAAGAGUGAAUGUCAUGCUUGAGCAAUAGAUCUUACAUUCAGGCUAUAUGUAUUGUCUAUGGUUCUCAGGUACAGGUUGUGUAUUUUCUAUAGUUCAUAGGUACAUGCAAUUUGUAUUGUCUCAGUUUUUUGUCUGUGGUUCUUGGGUAGAGUCUAUAUGAAUUGUCAGUGGUUCUUGAUAUAGGCUAUAUGUAUUGUUUAUGGUUCUUAGGUUCAGUCUAUAUAUAUAUUGUCUAUGGUUCUUAGGUACAGUCUAUAUGUAUUGUCUAUGGUUCUUAGGUACAGUCUAUAUGUAUUGUCUAAGGUUCUUAGGUUCAGUCUAUAUGAAUUGUCUAUGGUUCUUAGAUAUAGGCUAUAUGUAUUGUCUAUGGUUCUUAGGUUCAGUCUAUAUGUAUUGUCUAUGGUUCUUAGGUACAGUCUAUAUGUAUUGUCUAUGGUUCUUAGGUUCAGUCUAUAUGAAUUGUCUAUGGUUCUUAGAUAUAGGCCAUAUGUAUUGUCUAUGGUUCUUAGCUUCAGUCUAUAUGUAUUGUCUAUGGUUCUUAGGUUCAGUCUAUAUGAAUUGUCUAUGGUUCUUAGAUAUAGGCCAUAUGUAUUGUCUAUGGUUCUUAGCUUCAGUCUAUAUAUAUAUUGUCUAUGGUUCUUAGGUUCAGUCUAUAUAUAUAUUGUUUAUGGUUCUUAGGUUCAGUCUAUAUGUAUUGUCUAUGGUUCUUAGGUACAGUCUAUAUGUAUUGUCUAAGGUUCUUAGGUUCAGUCUAUAUGAAUUGUCUAGGGUUCUUAGACAUAGGCUAUAUGUAUUGUCUAUGGUUCUUAGGUUCAGUCUAUAUGAAUUGUCUAUGGUUCUUAGAUAUAGGCUAUAUGUAUUGUCUAUGGUUCUUAGGUUCAGUCUAUAUAUAUAUAUUGUCUAUGGUUCUUAGGUUCAGUCUAUAUGUAUUGUCUAUGGUUCUUAGGUACAGUCUAUAUGUAUUGUCUAUGGUUCUUAUGUUCAGUCUAUAUGUAUUGUCUAUGGUUCUCAGAUAAAGGCUUCAUGUAUGGUCUAUGGUUCUUAGGUUU